AUAAAGUUUGAUUUUGGUUUUGUUGUUCAUUAAUAAUUUUAUUUAUAUGUAAAUUUUUGUUGAAUUAUAAUUAAAAAUUAAUAUUUCAAUUUUUGCAAUAAUUAAAUUUAAUUAGAUUAAGGAGAUUUAGAUUUAGAAAUAUUAUUUAACAUAGUAAAAUUUUGUGCCAGCAUUCGCGGUUAAACAAGGAGAUGUGAGUGAAUAUUAAUUAAUUUAUAAUUAAUAAAAAAAAAUAAAGGGGUUUAAUAUAAGUUAAAAAUUAUGGAGUGAAAUCUUAAUUUAUUUAUAUACUGUUAAAAAUUUUAUUUUAUAUGAGGGUAUGAAAUUUUUUUAGUAAACUAGAAUUAGAUACUCUACUAUUAAAAAUAUAAAUUGUAGUAAAUUAGGGGAGUAAUAGAUAUGUUCUUGAAACUCAAGAGAUUUGGCGGUACUUUAAUCUAAUUAGGGGAAUUUGUUUAUUAAAUGAUAAUCCACAAGGAAUCUUACUUUAUUUAAUUAAUUUAUAUGUCGCCGUUGUAGAGAGUAUUAAAAAAUUUUUUUAUAAACUUUCAAUAGCCUUUAUUGGGGAUAAAUUCAGGUAAGAUGUAGUUUAUAGUAAAGUUUAAAUGAGUUACAAUAAGGGUACUUAAAUGGAUGUUAAAUUGAAAUAUUUAAUUGAAGGUGGACUUAAAAGUAAAUUUUAAUAUUAUAUAAUGUUGAAUAUAGCGCUAAAGUAUGUACAUAUCGCCCGUCGCUUUCGUUUAAAAAUGAGAUAAGUCGUAACAUAGUAGAUGUACUGGAAAGUGUAUCUAG
rnacentral:ncRNA from 1 species